AUGGCCUGUCCUCUUGUCUGUCUGUCAUUGCUCACCUUCUACUCAGGCUCCCUCUCCCAGCUGGUGCUGACUCAGCUUCCCUCUGUCUCUGCUUCCCUGGGGAGGACGACCAGACUCACCUGCACCCUGAGCAGUGGGUAUAGUCAUUAUAGUGUUGAUUGGUACCAGAAGAGCCCAGGAAAAUCCCCUCGGUACCUCAUGAGGGUUUACAGUGAUGGAAAUAUAGGUAGGGCUAAUGGGAUCCCUGAGCAUUUCUCUGGCUCCAGUUCUGGGGCUGAUCGAUUCCUGUUCAUCAGCAAUGUCCAGCCUGAGGAUGAAGCCUGUUACUACUGUGGGGAAGGCUAUGUCAGUGGUAGUAAUUAUGCUCAUUCAGAGUGA